GCGACUGUAGCUCAGGAGUAGAGCCAAGGUGCGCAGGUGCAACUCCUGCCAGUCGCA
rnacentral:tRNA from 1 species